rnacentral:rRNA from 1 species
CCCUUAGAUGUUCUGGGCCGCACGCGUGCUACACUGAGUGGAUCAGCGGGUCAGGUUGCGCGAAAGCGUUUCCUAAUCUUUAAAUCCGCUCGUGAUGGGGAUUGACGGUUGCAAUUUUCUGUCAUGAACGAGGAAUUCCUAGUAAGCGCAAGUCAUCAACUUGCGUUGAUUACGUCCCUGCCCUUUGUACACACCGCCCGUCGCUACUGCCGACUGAGAUGUGGGUCCCAAAGUGUUAGGAUUGCCCCGCUGCGAGGCCUACCCGGCCCCGAUUGCGGUCACGGCAAGAAUAUCAUUAAGUGGAAUGUCUUGUAGGGAGUAAAAGUCGUAACA